rnacentral:rRNA from 1 species
CGGUGGAGCAUGUUGGUUUAAUUCGAAGCAACGCGAAGAACCUUUACCAGGUUCUUGACAUCCCGAUGCUAUUUCUAGAGAUAGAAAGUUACUUCGGUACAUCGGUGACAGGUGGUGCAUGGUUGUCGUCAGCUCGUGUCGUGAGAUGUUGGGUUAAGUCCCGCAACGAGCGCAACCCCUAUUGUUAGUUGCCAUCAUUCAGUUGGGCACUCUAGCGAGACUGCCGGUAAUAAACCGGAGGAAGUGGGAUGACGUCAAAUCAUCAUGCCCCUUAUGACCUGGGCUACACACGUGCUACAAUGGUUGGUACAACGAGUUGCGAGUCGGUGACGGCGAGCUAAUCUCUUAAAGCCAAUCUCAGUUCGGAUUGUAGGCUGCAACUCGCCUACAUGAAGUCGGAAUCGCUAGUAAUCGCGGAUCAGCACGCCGCGGUGAAUACGUUCCCGGGCCUU